rnacentral:rRNA from 1 species
CCUACGGGUGGCUGCAGUGAGGAAUAUUGGUCAAUGGACGAGAGUCUGAACCAGCCAAGUAGCGUGAAGGAUGACUGCCCUAUGGGUUGUAAACUUCUUUUAUAUGGGAAUAAAAUGUUCCACGUGUGGGAUUUUGUAUGUACCAUAUGAAUAAGGAUCGGCUAACUCCGUGCCAGCAGCCGCGGUAAUACGGAGGAUGCGAGCGUUAUCCGGAUUUAUUGGGUUUAAAGGGUGCGCAGGCGGAAGCGGCAAGUCAGCGGUAAAAUUGCGGGGCUCAACCUCGCCGAGCCGUUGAAACUGCUCUUCGAGAGUGGGCGAGAAGUAUGCGGAAUGCGUGGUGUAGCGGUGAAAUGCAUAGAUAUCACGCAGAACUCCGAUUGCGAAGGCAGCAUACCGGCGCCCAACUGACGCUCAUGCACGAAAGCGUGGGUAUCGAACAGGAUUAGAUACCCCGGUAGUC